CGAGAUGAAGGAGAUACACCACUCCCGGACACGUGUAGAAAUUUAUUUGGCCCAUCAGAAGUAGAUAUCACCAGUCCUAGUGAACUGCAGCAUGUUCGACAGAGCUCGAUUUUUAACAAUAGUGGAACCCGGCCCCGGGAAACAGUGAUCGGAAGUCAAGAAAGUAUACAGUUUGGGUUGGAUGGAUCACAAC